rnacentral:rRNA from 1 species
CUUGGUCAUUUAGAGGAAGUAAAAGUCGUAACAAGGUCUCCGUAGGUGAACCUGCGGAGGGAUCAUUACACAAAUAUGAAGGCGGGCUGGAACCUCUCGGGGUUACAGCCUUGCUGAAUUAUUCACCCUUGUCUUUUGCGUACUUCUUGUUUCCUUGGUGGGUUCGCCCACCACUAGGACAAACAUAAACCUUUUGUAAUUGCAAUCAGCGUCAGUAACAAAUUAAUAAUUACAACUUUCAACAACGGAUCUCUUGGUUCUGGCAUCGAUGAAGAACGCAGCGAAAUGCGAUAAGUAGUGUGAAUUGCAGAAUUCAGUGAAUCGUCGAAUCUUUGAACGCACAUUGCGCCCUUUGGUAUUCCAAAGGGCAUGCCUGUUCGAGCGUCAUUUGUACCCUCAAGCUUUGCUUGGUGUUGGGCGUCUUGUCUCUAGCUUUGCUGGAGACUCGCCUUAAAGUAAUUGGCAGCCGGCCUACUGGUUUCGGAGCGCAGCACAAGUCGCACUCUCUAUCAGCAAAGGUCUAGCAUCCAUUAAGCCUUUUUUUCAACUUUUGACCUCGGAUCAGGUAGGGAUACCCGCUGAACUUAAGCAUAUCAAUAAGCGGAGGA